AGAGUUUGAUCAUGGCUCAGAUUGAACGCUGGCGGCAGGCCUAACACAUGCAAGUCGAGCGGAUGAGUGGAGCUUGCUCCAUGAUUCAGCGGCGGACGGGUGAGUAAUGCCUAGGAAUCUGCCUGGUAGUGGGGGACAACGUUUCGAAAGGAACGCUAAUACCGCAUACGUCCUACGGGAGAAAGUGGGGGAUCUUCGGACCUCACGCUAUCAGAUGAGCCUAGGUCGGAUUAGCUAGUUGGCGAGGUAAAGGCUCACCAAGGCGACGAUCCGUAACUGGUCUGAGAGGAUGAUCAGUCACACUGGAACUGAGACACGGUCCAGACUCCUACGGGAGGCAGCAGUGGGGAAU
rnacentral:rRNA from 1 species